rnacentral:rRNA from 1 species
UAACCUGGUUGAUCCUGCCAGUUAGUCAUAUGCUUGUUUCAAGGACUAAGCCAUGCAUGCCUCAGAAUCACUGCAUUGCAGGAAUCUGCGCAUGGCUCAUUACAUCAGACGUAAUCUGCCGCAAAAAUGUUGCGGUCUCCGCAAAAUUGGAUACCUUGGCGAAACGCCAAGCUAAUACAUGAACCAACUAGAC